GGGUUGUGAGGUUAAGCGACUAAGCGUACACGGUGGAUGCCCUGGCAGUCAGAGGCGAUGAAGGGCGUGCUAAUCUGCGAUAAGCGCCGGUAAGGUGAUAUGAACCGUUAUAACCGGCGAUACCCGAAUGGGGAAACCCAGUGUGAUUCGUCACACUAUCAUUAACUGAAUCCAUAGGUUAAUGAGGCGAACCGGGGGAACUGAAACAUCUAAGUACCCCGAGGAAAAGAAAUCAACCGAGUUUCCCCCCAGUAGCGGCGAGCGAACGGGGAGGAGCCCAGAGCCUGAAUCAGCAUGUGUGUUAGUGGAAGCGUCUGGAAAGGCGCGCGAUACAGGGUGACAGCCCCGUACACAAAAGCGCAUGUGCUGUGAGCUCGAUGAGUAGGGCGGGACACGUGGUAUCCUGUCUGAAUAUGGGGACCAUCCUCCAAGGCUAAAUACUCCUGACUGACCGAUAGUGAACCAGUACCGUGAGGGAAAGGCGAAAAGAACCCCGGCGAGGGGAGUGAAAAAGAACCUGAAACCGUGUACGUACAAGCAGUGGGAGCACCCUUCGGGGUGUGACUGCGUACCUUUUGUAUAAUGGGUCAGCGACUUAUAUUCUGUAGCAAGGUUAACCGUAUAGGGGAGCCGCAGGGAAACCGAGUCUUAAUUGGGCGUUAAGUUGCAGGGUAUAGACCCGAAACCCGGUGAUCUAGCCAUGGGCAGGUUGAAGGUUGGGUAACACUAACUGGAGGACCGAACCGACUAAUGUUGAAAAAUUAGCGGAUGACCUGUGGCUGGGGGUGAAAGGCCAAUCAAACCGGGAGAUAGCUGGUUCUCCCCGAAAGCUAUUUAGGUAGCGCCUCGUGAAUUCAUCUCCGGGGGUAGAGCACUGUUUCGGCUAGGGGGCCAUCCCGGCUUACCAACCCGAUGCAAACUGCGAAUACCGGAGAAUGUUAUCACGGGAGACACACGGCGGGUGCUAACGUCCGUCGUGAAGAGGAAACAACCCAGACCGCCAGCUAAGGUCCCAAAGUCAUGGUUAAGUGGGAAACGAUGUGGGAAGGCCCAGACAGCCGGAUGUUGGCUUAGAAGCAGCCAUCAUUUAAAGAAAGCGUAAUAGCUCACUGGUCGAGUCGGCCUGCGCGGAAGAUGUAACGGGGCUAAACCAUGCACCGAAGCUGCGGCAGCGACACUGUGUGUUGUUGGGUAGGGGAGCGUUCUGUAAGCCUGCGAAGGUGGCCUGUGAGGGUUGCUGGAGGUAUCAGAAGUGCGAAUGCUGACAUAAGUAACGAUAAAGCGGGUGAAAAGCCCGCUCGCCGGAAGACCAAGGGUUCCUGUCCAACGUUAAUCGGGGCAGGGUGAGUCGACCCCUAAGGCGAGGCCGAAAGGCGUAGUCGAUGGGAAACGGGUUAAUAUUCCCGUACUUGGUGUUACUGCGAAGGGGGACGGAGAAGGCUAUGUUGGCCGGGCGACGGUUGUCCCGGUUUAAGCGUGUAGGUGUGUGUUCGGUAAAUCCGGUUCACUUUAACACUGAGGCGUGACGACGAGGCACUACGGUGCUGAAGCAACAAAUGCCCUGCUUCCGGGAAAGCCUCUAAGCAUCAGGUAACAUCAAAUCGUACCCCAAACCGACACAGGUGGUCAGGUAGAGAAUACCAAGGCGCUUGAGAGAACUCGGGUGAAGGAACUAGGCAAAAUGGUGCCGUAACUUCGGGAGAAGGCACGCUGACACGUAGGUGAAGUGAUUUACUCAUGGAGCUGAAGUCAGUCGAAGAUACCAGCUGGCUGCAACUGUUUAUUAAAAACACAGCACUGUGCAAACACGAAAGUGGACGUAUACGGUGUGACGCCUGCCCGGUGCCGGAAGGUUAAUUGAUGGGGUCAGCGCAAGCGAAGCUCCUGAUCGAAGCCCCGGUAAACGGCGGCCGUAACUAUAACGGUCCUAAGGUAGCGAAAUUCCUUGUCGGGUAAGUUCCGACCUGCACGAAUGGCGUAAUGAUGGCCGGCUGUCUCCACCCGAGACUCAGUGAAAUUGAACUCGCUGUGAAGAUGCAGUGUACCCGCGGCAAGACGGAAAGACCCCGUGAACCUUUACUAUAGCUUGACACUGAACAUUGAGCCUUGAUGUGUAGGAUAGGUGGGAGGCUUUGAAGCGUGGACGCCAGUCUGCGUGGAGCCGACCUGAAAUACCACCCUUUAAUGUUUGAUGUUCUAACGUGGACCCGUGAUCCGGGUUGCGGACAGUGUCUGGUGGGUAGUUUGACUGGGGCGGUCUCCUCCUAAAGAGUAACGGAGGAGCACGAAGGUUGGCUAAUCCUCGGUCGGACAUCAGGAGGUUAGUGCAAUGGCAUAAGCCAGCUUGACUGCGAGCGUGACGGCGCGAGCAGGUGCGAAAGCAGGUCAUAGUGAUCCGGUGGUUCUGAAUGGAAGGGCCAUCGCUCAACGGAUAAAAGGUACUCCGGGGAUAACAGGCUGAUACCGCCCAAGAGUUCAUAUCGACGGCGGUGUUUGGCACCUCGAUGUCGGCUCAUCACAUCCGGGGCUGAAGUAGGUCCCAAGGGUAUGGCUGUUCGCCAUUUAAAGUGGUACGCGAGCUGGGUUUAGAACGUCGUGAGACAGUUCGGUCCCUAUCUGCCGUGGGCGCUGGAGAACUGAGGGGGCUGCUCCUAGUACGAGAGGACCGGAGUGGACGCAUCACUGGUGUUCGGGUUGUCAUGCCAAUGGCACUGCCCGGUAGCUAAAUGCGGAAGAGAUAAGUGCUGAAAGCAUCUAAGCACGAAACUUGCCCCGAGAUGAGUUCUCCCUGAGACUUAAAGUCUCCUGAAGGAACGUUGAAGACGACGACGUUGAUAGGCCGGGUGUGUAAGCGCAGCGAUGCGUUGAGCUAACCGGUACUAAUGAACCGUGAGGCUUAACCUUACAACGCCGAAG
rnacentral:rRNA from 1 species